CGACAUGGAGCUGAGUGGUAGAGCACGUGCUUAGCAUGCACGAGGUCCUGGGUUCAAUCCCUGGUACCUCCG
rnacentral:tRNA from 1 species